AUUGAACGCUGGCGGCAGGCCUAACACAUGCAAGUCGAACGGUAACAGGAAGCAGCUUGCUGCUUCGCUGACGAGUGGCGGACGGGUGAGUAAUGUCUGGGAAACUGCCUGAUGGAGGGGGAUAACUACUGGAAACGGUAGCUAAUACCGCAUAACGUCGCAAGACCAAAGAGGGGGACCUUAGGGCCUCUUGCCAUCGGAUGUGCCCAGAUGGGAUUAGCUAGUAGGUGGGGUAACGGCUCACCUAGGCGACGAUCCCUAGCUGGUCUGAGAGGAUGACCAGCCGCACUGGAGCUAUGACACGUUCCAGACUCCGACGUGAGGCAGCCAUGGGGAAUAUUGCGCAAUGGGCGCGAGCCUGAUGCAGCCAUGCCGCGUGUAUGAAGAAGGCCUUCGGGUUGUAAAGUACUUUCGGCGGGGAGAAAGAGAGUAAAGUUAAUACCUUUGCUCAUUGACGUUACCGGCAGAAAAGACACCGGCAAACUCCGU
rnacentral:rRNA from 1 species